rnacentral:rRNA from 1 species
GAUGAACGCUAGCUACAGGCUUAACACAUGCAAGUCGAGGGGAAACGGCAUUGAGUGCUUGCACUCUUUGGACGUCGACCGGCGCACGGGUGAGUAACGCGUAUCCAACCUUCCCAUUACUGUGGGAUAACCUGCCGAAAGGCAGACUAAUACCGCAUAGUCUUCGAUGACGGCAUCAGAUUUGAAGUAAAGAUUUAUCGGUAAUGGAUGGGGAUGCGUCUGAUUAGCUUGUUGGCGGGGUAACGGCCCACCAAGGCAACGAUCAGUAGGGGUUCUGAGAGGAAGGUCCCCCACAUUGGAACUGAGACACGGUCCAAACCCCUACGGGAGGCAGCAGUGAGGAAUAUUGGUCAAUGGACGGAAGUCUGAACCAGCCAAGUAGCGUGCAGGAUGACGGCCCUAUGGGUUGUAAACUGCUUUUGUAUGGGGAUAAAGUUAGGGACGUGUCCCUAUUUGCAGGUACCAUACGAAUAAGGACCGGCUAAUUCCGUGCCAGCAGCCGCGGUAAUACGGAAGGUCCAGGCGUUAUCCGGAUUUAUUGGGUUUAAAGGGAGCGUAGGCUGGAGAUUAAGUGUGUUGUGAAAUGUAGACGCUCAACGUCUGAAUUGCAGCGCAUACUGGUUUCCUUGAGUACGCACAACGUUGGCGGAAUUCGUCGUGUAGCGGUGAAAUGCUUAGAUAUGACGAAGAACUCCGAUUGCGAAGGCAGCUGACGGGAGCGCAACUGACGCUUAAGCUCGAAGGUGCGGGUAUCAAACAGG